rnacentral:rRNA from 1 species
AAACUUUCAACAACGGAUCUCUUGGCUCUCGCAUCGAUGAAGAACGCAGCGAAAUGCGAUAAGUAGUGUGAAUUGCAGAACUUUGUGAACCAUCGAAUCUUUGAACGCAAAUUGCGCCUUCUUUCGGAAGGCAUGUCUGUUUGAGGGCMCCAUU